AGUGAACGCUGGCGGUAGGCCUAACACAUGCAAGUCGAACGGCAGCACAGUAAGAGCUUGCUCUUACGGGUGGCGAGUGGCGGACGGGGGAGGAAUACAUCGGAAUCUACUUUUUCGUGGGGGAUAACGUAGGGAAACGUACGCUAAUACCGGAUACGACCUACGGGUGAAAGCAGGGGAUCUUCGGACCUUGCGCGAGUGAAUGAGCCGAUGUCGGAUUAGCUAGUUGGCGGGGUAAAGGCCCACCAAGGCGACGAUCCGUAGCUGGUCUGAGAGGAUGAUCCGCCACACUGGAACUGAGACACGGUCCAGACUCCUACGGGAGGCAGCAGUGGGGAAUAUUGGACAAUGGGCGCAAGCCUGAUCCAGCCCUACCGCGUGGGUGAAGAAGGCCUUCGGGUUGUAAAGCCCUUUUGUUGGGAAAGAAAAGCAGCAGGUUAAUCCCCCGCUGUUCUGACGGUACCCAAAGAAUAAGCACCGGCUAACUUCGUG
rnacentral:rRNA from 1 species